GCCACGGCACACGGCAUACCCCACCUCCCUCCCAGCAAGCAGCCGAAGGCCGAAGGCCGAAGCUCUAGCUCUCCUCCUCCCCCAAUCCUUCCCCGAUGCUGCGGCGCAACCGCGGCUGCGAAAUCGAGUUGGAAUCCCGACGCGCUCGCAUGGAGCUCAGGAUUUAGGUGUGAGCUGCGCCCCCUCGUAUGGAUCCAGAUGUUCCCGUGGAGCCGUAAGCAGUCCUCUUCGUCCGGCUCGCCCUCGUCCUCGUCCUCCUCCGGCCGCCGCCGCGGCGGGGCGGACGCCUCCAUGGAAUCCAGCAGCCGCGGCGGCGGCGGGAGCGGGAGCGGGAGCGGGAGCCGGGGGCGGAGCCCGCGGCUGGAUCGCCGCAACGCGGCGAAGCGCAUCGAGUACGAGGUGGGCGGCGCGGGGGCGUCCGCGUCGGUGGGCGCGUCGUGGUCGUCCUCGUCCUCGGCGGACCAGCAGCGGUCACCGGGGCUCCGCCCCUCGCGCUCGCUCGACCUUGCCCCCGGCGCGGACCUCCGCAUCAGCGGGAGCGCGGAGGGGGAGGUCGACGAGCUCUGCCGCAGCCUGGGGCUCUCGGGGCCCGAGGAGUUCGCCAUCCCCAUCGCAGCCUGGGAGGCGCGCAAGUCGCGCUCCAAUUCCGACCUCCUCCCGCGCCCCCGCCACGUCCUGUCCCCUCCCGCCGAUGAACUCUCGCCCAUCGCACGCGCGGUCUCGGCGCCCAAUGUUCAGCCGGCUCUCUCCGUCCCAGCCCCCAUUCCUGAGGAGUCGCUCCACUCUUCCUCCACCUCCACCGCCACCGAGUCGGCGGAGGAGCCUACCGUUCCGGCGCCGGAGUUGUCCCCCAAGGCCGCCCCUGCCGUUGCUGUUGCGCCUCCCGUCGGGGGUUUACCCCUCCCCUCGCCCAAGAGGGGAGGCGGGGAGGUCGGAAUACGGGGUGCCCGGCCGCCUCUGCUCUCCCCGCCUCCGCCUAUCACAGCACUUGCUCCUCCGCCGGUGAGGAGGCCCGCCGUUGCUGAUGACAUGACUGGGUCGGCUUGGGACAUUGUGCAGUCGUUUGCUCCCAGUGAAGAGAGAAGUGAACUGGGAGGGGCUCAUGAACACGUGGACAAUCGUCACGUGUCAGACACAGAGGAGGACGAGGUUGAAGAUGGGGUGGCAGCAGUGGAGGGGGAGCUGAAAGAGUUGAGAGUAGGAGAGACCUUCGAGGGUUUCACUGGAACAUCUUCCUUGUCGACAACAAACGAUGAUGAUGCGUCCAGUACAACCACAGAAGCCAUGUUCAUCAUCUCACCAAAUGGCAAGUUCAAGCGGAAGAUUAAGUCAUGGAUGCGUGGUGCUCUUCUGGGAAGCGGCUCAUUUGGAAUGGUGUACGAGGGGAUCAGUGAUGAGGGAGCAUUUUUUGCUGUGAAGGAAGUAUCUUUGCUUGAUCAAGGAAGCAACGCACAACCAUCUAUUCUUGCACUUGAGCAGGAAAUUGCUCUCCUUAGUCAGUUUGAACAUGAAAAUAUAGUCCAGUAUUAUGGAACUGACAAGGAAGAAUCAAAACUCUAUAUCUUUAUUGAGCUUGUCACUCAAGGGUCUCUUUCAUCCCUCUAUCAAAAGUAUAAACUACGAGAAUCGCAAGUCUCUGCAUACACUAGGCAGAUUCUUAAUGGAUUGCUUUACCUCCAUGAGCGAAAUGUUGUCCACAGAGAUAUCAAAUGUGCCAAUAUAUUGGUUCAUGCCAAUGGAUCUGUAAAGCUUGCAGAUUUUGGAUUGGCAAAGGAGAUGUCAAAAAUUAAUAUGCUAAGAUCAUGCAAAGGAAGUGUUUACUGGAUGGCACCUGAGGUUAUUAAUCCUAAAAAGAUGUAUGGGCCUUCAGCUGACAUAUGGAGCCUUGGCUGCACUGUAUUGGAAAUGCUAACUCGGCAAAUACCAUUUCCUAAUGUCGAGUGGACAAAUGCUUUCUUCAUGAUUGGAAGAGGGGAGAAACCUCCUAUUCCCAACUACCUGUCAGAAGAAGCGCAAGAUUUCAUUGGCCAGUGUGUAAGAGUUGAUCCAGAGAACCGGCCUUCUGCAUCACAACUUUUGGAGCACCCAUUUGUCAAUAGGCCGCUGCGAGCUUCUUUUGAAUCUUCGCCCCCUGGCAUCCGCUUGUACUUUCGAGAUCUUCAUGAUUUCCACUCGUGGUGCCAGAAAGGAACAACGAGGGUUUGUUUAGGAUAUAGUUCACCGGGUACAAGGGCUGCAGGAGGAGGAGGCGAAGCGAAACACGGGCGGGCCGAGGCCUCGGGGGGAGCGAUGACGAGCCUGGACGCCGCGCGCGGCGGGGCGCACGACGAUCUGGGCUGGAGCGCCCUCGGGCGGCGGGCGCCCCGCGACGUGAUGGUCGGCGAUCGAGGAGGAUGGGGAGGAGUGGGGAGGUGGAGCAGGGAGCCGCAGGGAGGGGCGGUGCGCGUGGGCGUGGGCGAGGCGUCGUGCACGUCCACCUUCCGCGAGCUCGACGACGUCUUCCUGCAGAAACAAACAAAAGUCUGGCUUGGAGAAGUUCUGCAUCGUAGAUUUGAUGAAGGCGUUUUAGUUGCAGACCUUCUUGCUGAUGGGGAAUUACUGUAUCGACUUUCCAAAGUAAUAUGGAAAAGGUUACUUAAAAAGAACAGAGAUCAAUUCAAGCAAUCAAAAGUUUAUAUUUGUGAGCGACUAUCCUUUGGCAGGAGCAAUGGAAAUUAUAUGCCCUAUUUAAAAGUUGACUUUUUUCUAAAGAUAUGUCAAAUCCUCGGGUUAGCUGGAAUUGACCUGUUUACCCCUUCUGAUGUGGUUGAAAAAAGAAAUGUUCGGAAGGUCUGUAUAUGCAUCCGAUCGGUAUCGAAAAAGUCUCACAUGAUGCACCUAAAUGUGCCUGAUUUUGAUAUAGUGACCUACACAAUAUCCAUGCCCAACUGUAUUGUUGGAGGUAUACGUAGAAGUCUGGAGCAGCUACAAUACAGUUCCUCCAGUUCAAGUGGAUACAGUACACCUGAUAGUUUCAAAGCAUUGCAGCAGCAGAUAAUAUUUGGUGGAAAGAACGACGAGCAUGGGGAAACAAAUUAUGACUCUGAUGAAGCAGAAAGCAGACUGUCUGUUCCAGAACCUGAGGACUCAGUUAAUGAAGACAAUUUUGCAACCAUGCUUUCACCCCCUAAAGAAGAAAGUAAAGGCUAUGGAGAAAGUGGACAUGAUAUGCAUGAAGAAAAAUCUCUAGCUGAAUCUUUGGGAUCACUUAACUUUGUUAUGGAUUCGGGGUCCGCGGAUUCAACUCCACAAAAUCAUGACAAAGAAUCUUACUCUAUUCAUUCUGCAACUGACCAAUGUUCAAGAACUAGAAUGGCGAAAUGUUCCUUAAGUUCAGAAGAGGCAGAUUCCAUAAACAGUCAGUUAACGUUUGAAAGUGGGAAGAAUGAUUCAGAGUUGAAUGCUCAUCCUGUCGCAGAUUCAGAAAGGAUUUAUGAUGGACAGGCCAAGUCUCUAGAUCAUCCUAUUCAGGGAAAUGGGGAAACAUUAGUUGAUCAUCCAAAAAAAGAGAGUGCUGACCUCCAAAAGGACACUGGCACCAUCGAUCUACAUUGUGACGCCCUUGCCUGUGAUAGUGAGUCAGUGAGUUCAAGUUGCGAGGAACUGAGACAUGGGUUAAAUGGCGAGCCGUCAGACCUGAGCAAAUUGCCGAUGGUUAUGGUUUCUAAAGAUGCGGUGAAUAAUAUAGAGCCAAGCCUGACUGAGAUGACAAAUGAUAGCAUGUGUGAAGAGCUGAAUCCUGAAUUCAGUGAUAGAUAUCAAAUGGAAGGUUCCCAAACCGGAGAUAAACCUGUGGACUUAGACAGUAUAGCUAAGCCUCCUCAAAGGCCUGAAGAUGAUGCCCCCAAACAAGGGAAAGGGGUGCUAAAGUCAGUUGCCGGAGGAAUUACCCUUGUCGGCGCAGUGUUCUUCAUGGUCCACCUCAGGAGAAGCAAUGAGAGAAGCUUCACGAUAAGUUAUACCAUCACUUCCAGAAACAUCGAUUCAUAGUGACUCAAGGGCUAAGAACAUGGACAAAGAAAAGGUUCCUGAUGUGUAUCCCGGGCACGGCUGAAGGUCUAAAAAGAUGGAUACAAGACGCGCGUGCUGCUGCCUGGAAACCAAAGCUUGAAGAAGGUUCAGCUUCCCGGUAAAAGCAGCUCUUAUGGAGCGACUCCAGUAGCAUCUAGCAUAUACUUACAGGAGCUUUGAGCGCAAUUGAAUUUGGUUACAUUUUGUUAAGUCACCUCUUACCUGAUAAAGCUGAUAUCCUGUCCUCUUCAUGUACAGAACCAUGUAGCUACAUAUAGGUGAUCAAUUACUCUCUAGCUAUGAUUUUGUACAACUGUAUAGGAGUUGCUUGAGAUCUUGCAAAUCCUACAUCUAUAAUAAUUGAUUUUUUUAUUAUUUUA